rnacentral:rRNA from 1 species
AUUGAACGCUGGCGGCAGGCCUAACACAUGCAAGUCGAGCGGAUGAAGGGAGCUUGCUCCUGGAUUCAGCGGCGGACGGGUGAGUAAUGCCUAGGAAUCUGCCUGGUAGUGGGGGAUAACGUCCGGAAACGGGCGCUAAUACCGCAUACGUCCUGAGGGAGAAAGUGGGGGAUCUUCGGACCUCACGCUAUCAGAUGAGCCUAGGUCGGAUUAGCUAGUUAGUGGGGUAAAGGCCUACCAAGGCGACGAUCCGUAACUGGUCUGAGAGGAUGAUCAGUCACACUGGAACUGAGACACGGUCCAGACUCCUACGGGAGGCAGCAGUGGGGAAUAUUGGACAAUGGGCGAAGGCCUGAUCCAGCCAUGCCGCGUGUGUGAAGAAGGUCUUCGGAUUGUAAAGCACGUUAAGUUGGGAGGAAGGGCAGUAAGUUAAUACCUUGCUGUUUUGACGUUACCAACAGAAUAAGCACCGGCUAACUUCGUG